GGUUGCCAGGCAGUGUAGUUAGCUGAUUGUGCGAGUGGGUAAUCACUAACCACACAGCCAGGUGAAC
rfam:Lepisosteus oculatus linkage group LG26, whole genome shotgun sequence.